ACCACUUUCACCUAAAAAUUCAGUGUGUUCCAUACUUCAUCUUUUUUUAUUUUAAAGAAAAAAAAAUGAACUAGCUGAAGGGCUUCUCCAAAAGACACGAAGUUAACCUCACACACACCACCAGCCUCCUCCUGCCAGCACUCCCAAUGGGUUCCAGCCUGCUGCCCUCUUCAGCUGGGCUCCUCACCAGUCAUGGGGCCCGCUGAGGCCAUCACAGUGCUGGCAGGGAGGGCUUCCCUCAGAAGGAACAUCCUGGUCCUUACACCUGCUCACAGCACUCAUCCCAGGGAUCUGGGCUGCCAGACCUCAUGCAUAUUGGGUGAGGCAUGCCACAGGCUGACAGUUGGAGCAGGUGAAAGGCAGUCUCCACAGCAACUGCCAUGCAACUGUGUACCUACGACUGGACUUUUCUAUGGGAAGAGCAACCCUGAACUACCACAGCAAGGGGCCUCACUCAGCAGGAGCUGGGGAACAUGCAGCAGACACAUCAGAAACAAAAGUUUGGAAACUGAGAUAAACUCCCACAGAAGAAUAAAAAGGUAUUCAUUCUCCUAUGAAGCCUGCAGUCUGCCUGUAGAUAGAAGAAAGCAACUCCUGCCAGGCUGCUUGUUUCCUGGCUAGAUGCUGGACAGAAAAUGAAGAAAAUUUCAGUGCUCCUUCUUCUGCACCACUGCACCAUUUAGCACAGUGAAUUCCUCCACCAAAUAAAGGGUGAACAAGACUGAAGUGUGACUUUCUG
rnacentral:lncRNA from 1 species